rnacentral:rRNA from 1 species
CCCUUAGAUGUUCUGGGCUGCACGCGCGCUACACUGAUGCACUCAACGAGUUUACAACCUUAUCCGGAAGGAUUGGGUAAUCUUUUGAACGUGCAUCGUGAUGGGGAUAGAUUAUUGCAAUUAUUAAUCUUCAACGAGGAAUUCCUAGUAAACGCAAGUCAUCAACUUGCAUUGAUUACGUCCCUGCCCUUUGUACACACCGCCCGUCGCACCUACCGAUUGAAUGGUCCGGUGAAGCCUCCGGAUUGGCGCGCACCUCGGUGCCGCCGAGAAGUUGGCUAAACCUUACCAUUUAGAGGAAGGUGAAGUCGUAACA